rfam:Triticum aestivum genome assembly, contig: Triticum_aestivum_CS42_TGACv1_scaffold_148502_2BS
CUUGUACUCCCUCCAUCCAAAAAUACUUGUCAUUGAAAUGGAUGUAUCUAGAUGUAUUUUAGUUCUAGACACAUCCAUUUUGAUGACAAGUAAUUCCGGACGGAGGGAGUACUUG